rnacentral:sRNA from 1 species
CCUCUGUUCCAGCCGCAAACUUUUCCAUCUCGAAAACUCCCAUAGGUCCAUUCCAAAUGACUGUUUGUGUUGUGUCCAGAGCUUCGUUGAAAGUUUUGAUAGAGUCUGGACCAAUGUCCAGUCCCAUCCAUCCGUCCUCAAUGCCUGAUGCAGGCACAAUCUACAAACAUCCACAUGACAUACUUUA